GCAGCCUCUGACGAGGUAAGUUAAACACUUAUUAAUUAAAUAGAUCUAUUUUGUAUUUAAAAAAAAAUCGGCUUCCCGAUCGUCUCCAGCUCCAUUGACGAGCUCCCGCCAUGUCGACGAACAAACUAAUAAUUCAUCGGCUGAAGAAAGUGGCGACGAGGAAGAGGGGAAGACGAGGAUGAGGAGGAGGACGAGGACGCUUUUCAUGCUCUAAAGGACGCGUUUCCAAUAAAAAAGGAAAACCUUACCAAAUUGAGUACCGUGGAUGAGCGAAAGUUUGUCCUGAAUCUUAUUGGGACGCUGUAUUCCCGGCAAUACCUGCGUCUCCACAAAAAAAGUGGUACGAAAGCUACGCAUGGAAACGACUUGAAAAUUCCUAUUCCGCGUGAGCAGUACGUUCAAAUACAAGAUGCCAUUUGCUCCAUGCUGAAGGUGAAACUAACUAGACAUCGUUUGCCACCGAAACUGGAGUUGGCUAUUUCCCAGAAAUUUAAUCAGGUGCGUCCAACGGCAGCCGACACAUAUAUAACUCACUGAAGUCCAUACAAGCCAUGUUGACAGAAGGAAGAUACUCAAGUUUCCGAAGAAAAUUUGUAUCGAUGCCAACUUCGUAUGCGUUAAACUGGGCGUCGUGGCUUAUACGGUUUUUUUCUCUUGCUAAUCUUUGAGCAUUUCUGACUUGUUCUAGGUCUCGAGACGCAUCCACUGUGUAAACUUUGUAAAUACUUUUGGCGGCGUGUCGUACCGUACUUACAGUUUAGGUUGAGUAAUUAAAUUGACACUAAGAACUGUGUCUGUUCCAACCG